GUGAAUUCUCCAAUUUUCCGUAAUUUUUCAUCCCCAAUUCAAUUCUCCACAUACAAUCAACCAAUUGAAUUUCAAUCCAACAAGUAGAUUGUACUCAAAUAGAUUAUUGUGCGAGAUCUCUACUCUGCCUCGGAAAUUAUUGCUCCCUCCCUACUACAAUCAAACGAAAACUUGGGUGAAAUUCCAUUUGAUCAAAUCCAAAUUUGAAGUCGCCAGUGAGCAGAGAGGGAGAGUGUUGCUGCAGCGGUGAAGAUGUCCGUGGAGCCGCCUCCCUUCUAGGAAGCCUCUCGCUGCGAUGUCUGCAAAUGCAGCUUCUCCACCUUCCGCCGGCUGGUAAUUCUCAGUUCUUAUGUCAAAAUCAGCCGAAGUUACUUCGAUUAUGUUCCUUCCUCUAUCGCUCCAUUUUCAAUUUCACCUAUUUCAUACGAGGAUUUGGCUUGAGGUUCAAUUUCAUUUGAAAUUGAUUCAGACAUCAGUUGAGAGCUUGGGCUUUUAGUCGUUGAGCUGUCUAACAAG
rnacentral:lncRNA from 1 species